UACGUAGGGGGCUAGCGUUGUCCGGAAUCACUGGGCGUAAAGGGCGCGUAGGCGGCCUGGUAAGUAGGGGGUGAAAUCCUGCGGCUUAACCGCAGGGCUGCCUUCUAAACUGUCAGGCUCGAGCACGGUAGAGGCAGAUGGAAUUCCCGGUGUAGCGGUGGAAUGCGUAGAGAUCGGGAAGAACAUCAGUGGCGAAGGCGGUCUGCUGGGCCGUUGCUGACGCUGAGGCGCGACAGCGUGGGGGAGCAAACAGG
rnacentral:rRNA from 1 species